rnacentral:siRNA from 1 species
UGUCCAAGAAGGAAAAGUGUGCCA